rnacentral:snRNA from 1 species
GUCCCUUUGGGGACAUAUGUUAAAAUUGGAACGGUAUAGGGAAAAUUAGCAUGGCCCAUGCUGAAGGAUGACAUGCAAAAUUGAGAGUCGGUCCAAUUUUUU